rnacentral:rRNA from 1 species
GAUGAACGCUGGCGGCGUGCCUAAUACAUGCAAGUCGAGCGAAUGGAUUAAGAGCUUGCUCUUAUGAAGUUAGCGGCGGACGGGUGAGUAACACGUGGGUAACCUGCCCAUAAGGCUGGGAUAACUCCGGGAAACCGGGGCUAAUACCGGAUAACAUUUUGAACCGCAUGGUUCGAAAUUGAAAGGCGGCUUCGGCUGUCACUUAUGGAUGGACCCGCGUCGCAUUAGCUAGUUGGUGAGGUAACGGGUCACCAAGGCAACGAUGCGUAGCCGAGCUGAGAGGGGGAUAGGCCACACUGGAACUAAGACACGGCACAGAGUCCUACGGGCGGCAGCAGUAGGGAAUCUUCCGCAAAGGACGAAAGUCUGACGGAGGAACGCCGCGUGAGUGAUGAAGUCUUUCGGGUCGUAAAACUCUGUUGUUAGGGAAGAACAAGUGCUAGUUGAAUAAGCUGACACCUUGACGGUACCUAACCAGAAAGCCACGGCUAACUACGUGCCAGCAGCCGCGGUAA